rfam:Rattus norvegicus chromosome 10, whole genome shotgun sequence.
GGGGAUUUAGCUCAGUGGUAGAGCGCUUGCCUAGCAAGCGCAAGGCUCUGGGUUAGGUCCCCAGCUCCA